UACGUAGGGUGCAAGCGUUGUCCGGAAUUAUUGGGCGUAAAGAGCUCGUAGGCGGUCUGUCGCGUCGGAUGUGAAAACCCAGGGCUCAACCCUGGGCCUGCAUUCGAUACGGGCAGACUAGAGUUCGGUAGGGGAGACUGGAAUUCCUGGUGUAGCGGUGAAAUGCGCAGAUAUCAGGAGGAACACCGGUGGCGAAGGCGGCAGCCUGGACCAACACUGACGCUGAGGAGCGAAAGCCAGGGGAGCAAACGGG
rnacentral:rRNA from 1 species